GCGGGCGUGGUGGAACCGGUAGACACACAGGACUUAAAAUCCUGAGGCCUUGUGCCGUGCGGGUUCAAGUCCCGCCGCCCGCACCA
rnacentral:tRNA from 1 species